CGGGUAUACAUGCCCCACCUUCUGGGUUCUGCUGUUCUUUCCAUAUUCGCCCUGUCACCCUAAGCUUUAACUCUUUCCUAUCCCCUCCAGAGAAGAAAAGAGCCAUAUUCCUCUGUAUAAUGAGGCCAUCAUGGCUAUCUCUGACCUUCCUGUGGCUAUCUCUAAUGCUCCGCGGGGUGCCUUCCCAAAUGAGUUUUCGGCCAUUUCCCCCAACCUCCAAGCUAUAGCUGUAGUUACGGGCUUCUGUCUCAUCACCCAUAAAACGAAGGAAUGCCAUAUAAACAGGUGCCAUCCCAAGCUGGAAAGCUUCAAAAUGCAGACAAAAGUACUGGCCAAAACAGUGGAAAACAGU
rnacentral:misc_RNA from 1 species